ensembl:misc_RNA Metazoa_SRP Metazoan signal recognition particle RNA
GCCAGGCAUGGUGGCACAUGCCUGUAAUCCCAGCUACUCGGGAGGCUGAGGCAGGAGAAUCGCUUGAACCCAGGAGUUGGAGGUUGCAGUGAGCUGAGAUCUUACCACUGCACUCCAGCAUGGGUGACAGAGUGAGACUCUGUCUCAA